GAAAAGCCACAGUUUCCCCACACACAGAUGUUCCAUCCAGAACACUCUAUCCUCACAGCUCCAGAUUCUGAAAGACCUCUGAUUCUGUGAGGAGCUCUCACAGCCCCGUAGGAAAAGAACAUUUACCAACAAAAAGAGUUUCCUACUCAACCAUCUGAAGACAAGCUCUGUGGUCACCUGUGCCCAAGGCUAUGGAUCCAGACUGACACUUCAGAGUGCUGGAAAUGCCCAUGUGCUAGACGCCACCAGGUUCCAGAUGCUAGCAGGAUGCCAACCAGACUUCCCUGGACAGACAACCCCACCAAUGUCAUGGAGUUCUACUUCCCCAGAGUCCCACCCCACUAGGUAAAGAGAGAGGCAGGCUGGAAGAAUGGAUCGACCAGUCAACGCUCAUGUUCAGCAAUUACAGAAGCCAGACCUUCCACCUUCUGCAUCCCACAAUGACCUUGGGUCCUUGAUCCCAGAGGAUUAAAGAGUAGGAAAGCUGUCAGAGGAGAGAUGGAAUACAGAGUUCUGGUUGUGAGAAUUGUGUGGAGUUGUACUCCUCUUAUCCUAUGGUUUUGUCAAUUUUUCCUUUUUGUAAAUAAAUAAAUAAAAAGAAAAAGAAAGCAGAA